GCUCUACUGCACUCCAGCCUGGGUGAUAGAGCGAGACUCCAUCUCAAAAAAAAAAGUGCUAAACAGGAACAUAUUUAUAAACACCCACAAUGAUAAUGCCUUUUUGUUUUCUAAGGUACAAAGAAGGUGAUAAAAUGUAGUCACAAAAAGUCAGAUGAAAACACAAGCCUCCAGGAAAGUUGCAGCCAACCAAUUUCACAAUCUUGUUCCAGGAAUGCCUGACCCAGUUUUCUGCAGAUUCAUGCAAUAACUGAGGACUUUGAUGAUGAAAGGUGCAGCGUUCAGCCAGACCAGCAACUGGUGAAAAGUACCAUCUCCACAAAUCAAAUAGAUGGUCAUCUUCGGUCCUCACUGGAUGGGUAGAGCAGAUGUUGGUUUCAAAAGAGAAGGGAAAACACUUGGAAAAAAUGGAAGUUUCAUCUCUGGCCUGCCUUACAGCUUCUGGCAUAUUUUCAGAUGCCAACAAGUAAUGUCAAAGAAACAGCUGUUACAGUGAUCCUGCUUAACAGCCAUAAAGGAAUGAAGAUUUCCACAGAGAGCUUUAUCAGUCUCCACGGAGCUGCCAUUUCCUGCUGACUGAGAGACAAGAUGGAGUGCCAGAUUGUCAUUUAGUUUAACUCCAUGGAAAUGAGGCAAGGGAAUCUGACCGUGACUAAACCUUUGCAUCCAGCAAAAGAACACAGGGCAAUCAAGGAAACCUUCUGCUGGCCCUCAGAGGACAGACUGUUGACAAAGAAAGUCCGGUCCGGAGAGAUUGAGUUUUGCCCAAAGUCUCAACGCAAAAUUGGGUCAUUGUCAUGGGAAGAACCUGUUCCCUGAACUACCCUAUUUCUCAAGACUGGCUCCUGAACCACUUUCCAUGGAGUUAGAAAGUGAAUAGAGGUAUCAGUCAAUGUCCAUACAGCAUGAAUUUGGGGGCUUUUCUGAUUUAAAGGAAGCCUAGAGCUUGACGUAGCUUGUAGACAGAAGAUUAGAUUAAAGUAAAAGAACUGAUAGUAUUUUCUAUUUCACCAAGUAAUAUUGAGAGGUGACAGCGUGCUGGCAGCCCUCGCAUCCCUUGCUCGCUCUGGGCGCCUCCUCAGCCUCGGCGCCCACUCUGGCCACGCUUGAGGAGCCCUUCAGCCCACCGCUGCACUGUGGGAGCCCCUCUCUGAACUGGCUGAGGCGGGAGCAGGCUCCCUUUGUUUGCCGGGAGGUGUGGAGGGAGAGGCACGGGCGGGAACCUGGGGGGCGCGUGGCGCUUGCGGGCCAGCGAGUUCUGAGUGGGCGUGGGCUCAGUGGGCCCCCACACUCGGAGCGGCUGGCCGGGGCCGGACAGUGAUGGGCUUAGCACCCGGGCCAGCAGCUACAGAGGGUGCGCAAG